rnacentral:tRNA from 1 species
UAUUGUAGUCCUCAAGGCUUUGUAAGAGCCUCUCAUAAAAUGCUGUA